rnacentral:lncRNA from 1 species
AUUUUUAAAAUGACAGCAAUAUAUUAUCAUAAAUUAGUAUAUACAAAAUAACAUAAAUUUUUACUAUUUUCCAUUAUUUUAUUAAAAUUGUAAAUUUAUUUUACUAUGAAAAUUAUAAAAUAAAAUAACUAAACUAAAAGAAAAUUAGAAUACGACACAUAAUCUAAACAUAAAUCUCCGCAUCACAAAGAAAAAGAAAAAUACUAUAUUAACACUAACUCGAUAAAGGUCUGGAACACAAAUGAACGCGAUCAAGCACCAAUCCAAAAAAAAAAAAAUAGAUCAGAAGAAGAAUAAUCAACGGAAUACCAAAGUCACCACAAAACCGGAAAACACAUGCCUAAAGUACAACCACCAGCUAAGAGGUAAGAACCACCUCACAAACAAAACAACCACAUAUAAGGGGCUCAUGCCAAUGAAAAACUCACAAAGCUCUGCAUAGAAGAGACUAACUCAACGCACCUAAGGGAGGAAGAAUAGAAGCCAACCACAGAGAAACCAAAGCUCAAGUUUGAGACAAGAAAUAAUCUUCCAAGCCUACAAAACAUACACGAAAGAAAACACUUCCAACCCUGGAGUGGCAAACAUGGCGAAAUGGAAAGCCACCAGAGACACAACCAGCGAUGAAAAGUGUAACGAGAUGAGAGAACAAAAAGAGAAAAAGAGACUACACAAAAUCAGCAAACUAUGGAACACAAAUGAACGCGAUCAAACACCAACCCAGAAAAACCAAAAAAGCGAAUCAAAGGAAGAAUAAUCACCGGAAGACCAAAGUUACCAUGAAGCUGGAAAACACAUGCUUAUAGCACUAUCACCAGCUAAGAGGUAAGAAACACCUCACAAACAAAACAACCAUAUACAAGGUGCCACACCAAUGAAGAACCACAAAGCUCUGAACAGAAGAGACGAAAGCUCCAAGAAACUAACUCCACAAACCUAUACCAAGGGAAGCAUGAGAAGAAGAAAAACAACCUAAAGGAGCGAGAAUGGAAGCCAACCACAGAGAAACCAAAGCUCAAGUUUAAGACAAGAAAUAAUCUUCCAAGCCCACAAAACAUAC